GAAUCUAGGUUAUUUUGGCCUCUGAUUCAGAAGGUGCUAAGGUGCUUUAAAAACCUAAAGCCCAGCUGAUUUGGAAGAGAGGAAGGCCCACAUCCAGAGGAAUGUUUAAGGGACACAGCAGGUCUCCUGGCCUGUGCAUUGCUGCAGAGCCUCUUGGCCAACAGGGCCUCUCCUUUGUACUCCUCUCAGGACAGCAGCUAGUGAUGAAGGCCCCUUGUCACUGCCAGUGUGGGUUGGAGCUCAGUGCCUGCUGACCACCCCAGGCUGCAAUGCAUCGCUCUUUGUUACUGGCUGUGUGUUGCUUUAAUGAACAUUAAACUCCCAUUAGAUAAGGAGACUCCCUUUGAUGUCUAAAUAUUUCAGUGGAUGGGAAGAGGAAUGAAAUGCACCACAGGAGUGUUUCAUAGGCUUGCCCAGGUGUGUCUUUAUUCAAAGAGAAAUUACCAUCACCAUAUCACAGUCAAGGAAAAGGGCAAGCAGUGGUAACAAGAAGGGGUUUUCAGCUCAGAGACCAAUGUGAAAGCAACAAAGCAUGCAAAAGUCCAUGAAAAAUUGUAGCCAGGCUCUGGAAAUAAGUGAUGUAAAUACAAACUCUGUCGCUGUCGAGGCAGGACAGGAAUGAGAAGACUGACUCAGAAGGCUGCUAAGAGUAAAACUCCGGUUUAUUCAAAUGCACCGCUCUUUUAUACAGAGCUUUGUGAAGACCAACUCCCUUGGUCCUGAAGUGGAAACAGCCUACACCAUUGGUGCAAAGUGCUUGACGAACAGUGAUAGAAGUAACUGUAAACAAUGUGAACAACAAGAGAGAUAAAUAAUUAUUUACAUUCUUCUCCAACUCUUUCCCAGGCUUCUGCCUGGCUAGAAACUCUCCGUUUCUCUCUUUGACUGAAUCUGAGACCCACAAAACUCCACUGAAGAGUAUGUGCAGGCAGGUAGCACUCUUCCUCAGUUUCUGGAUCUGACUGAUGCUAUCAGUCAUGGAGGUUGUGAGAAGUAUUUUACAGGUUCUUUUCAGGUUUCUGAUGCCCCAUGGGCUUACUAGGUGGGAUUGAAAGUAGGGUGCUCUACAAUCUAGAGGAUAGUCUCUACCAUGUAAUAGGGAGAAGAGCUGCAAGAAAAAGGAAAGGGGAACUCAUGGGUGAAUCUGAGGCUGUGGGAGUUGGCUCUGAAAAUAGAAAUAAAUUCUGUUUUGGAUUUAAAGGAACAUAACUAUUGGACACUUUAGCAACAGUACAUGUAUUAAUCCUGUCCUGGAGAAAAGAGAAGCUGUUCUGGGAGCCUCCAUACCAGAAAAGCAGUUGUACUGCUUUACAGAAACCCUUGUUUUUUCUGAUGAAAUUUAUUUCAAACUAUCCAAACAUUUCCGAGUGGCACUGAUGACCGGUCAGAGUAGGGACUGUAUAGGACAGCAGUUCACAAAUGGAAGCAGCUUUGCAAAUAUGAAAGUUGCUGUGACAAAAGAGCUGUGUCCAGUCCAUUACAAUCAGGGAGCGAGCAGUUGCUGUAACCCAUUGGCAGCUCAACACGUCACAAUGGCCACUGGAACAUCAAGACCAGCCUUUUUUUAGCUGCAGCAGGAUGCCUUUAGCACCAUACCUAUUCCAGAGCCUGCUUGGGAAUGUGCAUUUACUUGUAUGAGUCUUCAGAAGCAGGCGUUCAGUUAAAAUAAGUCUUCAGUGGCAUCGCCUGAAAUCUGGCAUUGAGGCUGGUAAGAUCCAGUCCUCCAAUUUUAUUGUCAAAUAGGGCACUGAAAAAAAUACAGAGUGGCUUGGGAUUUAGGGACUUUUCUUUUGGAUGUUGUCUCUGAACACACCAUCAAAAUUUCUCUGGGAAAAAUGAGUGGCUAUGGUGAACUUGUGGGUGCUGUCUGUGUGGGAAAUUAGGAGCAUCCCCAGAUAUUGUGAAUGCCUUCAAACCAUACAAUUGCAGAAAGAGCCAACUUUUCCACUGCUCAGAUAGAUCCUUUUUCACAGGUCUGUGAAUGAAUUGUCCCCUGGGUUGUACUAUUUUCAGAGGAGAUUGUUGUCACAGUUCCACAUUCUGGCAUUUAAAAUAUAUCCCAACUGACUUCCCCACUCACUUGGGUGCCAUCCACACCAAGCAGUGUGUAGCACUGCUGAAACAAACCUUGAUCCAGGUGCUGGACAAGUGGCCAUACCUGGCACUGCACAUGUAGACAGUCGACACUGGAGUGACAGCUCAUGUCUGCAACCUUUGCCCUGCUCAUUCUGCCCAGGAAGAAAAUGAGAUUUCAGACUGAUUGGAUACAUAACACCCUAAUUCACUCCUUUCCAGUGCUCAUUAUACCUACAGGCAUUUAAGAGCACUGAGACUUCAUCCCGCACUGUGGGAGCUGUGAAAGUCAUGCUCAGCUGAGCAGGAUGGAAGGAGGAUGGAGGCCACCAGGACUGCAAAGGGUAUUCCAGGCUGGGGAUGGUCAGGAGAGGACAGGGAGGGGUGAACACCUUGGACUGUUCAUGACUUGUGGUGGAGUUGUCUUCAGUUUAUCUUCACAUUCAGCAGAUGUGGCAGAUGAUGGAAUCCCAGACUGGUUAGGGUUGGAAAGGACAUUAAAGAUCAUCUCAUUCCACCCUGUGCCAUGGGAAGAGACACCUUCCACUAGACCAGGUAGCUCCAAGCCCCAUCCAGUCUGGCUUUGAACACUUCUAGGGAUGGGGCAGCCACAGCUUCUCUGGACAAUCAGUUCCAGGCUUCACCACCAUCUUAGUAAAGAAUUUCUUCCUAAUAUCUAAACUAGUCUCUUCUCCUUUAGUUUAAAACUGUUUCCCCCUUGUCAUGUCAUUAUCUGCUUGUGUUAAAAGGUUAUUCUUCCUCUUUUUUUAUAAGCCCCUGUACGUACCGGAAGGCUGCAAUGACGUUUCCCCAGAGCAAUGAGACCUACAAUGAUCCCAGGUGGUGUUACCAUUGCCAAGGUGCUCAGCCUAAGUGAUGUCUACAUCUCUCUUCCUGUGUGUGACCAAGGAGGUCAUGGGGUGUGUCUUGCUCCACCUCUCUCAUUGCACCUCUCAACUUGUUGGUGCUCUUGCUGGUAUGGUUUUGGCCCAGCCAACAUGUAACUUGCAGACAGUGGCUAGGCAAAGAGCAAGGGAUAUCUUGUCCCAAGACAUAGGAGAGACAUGACCUUUUGGGGAUACAAACCAGAGGUGUGAAGGAGCAGAAGAAAAUCAAUGAAAAGACAGGUGCUGAUUUGGAUUAUUUGGUCUACUGGUAGUGAAUAAAACACUGAUGGAGAAAAUCUUCUAAAUCUCUGGAAGCAAGAAAAGCUAUGCCUGGAAAGAAAUUCCAAGCUUUGUCCCAUGACAAGGGCCAGAAGAGACAAUUGAGCUUGUCUGGGCCAGUGGAGAAAUCCAGGACCAAAUUUUUCUGCUGCUUCUCAUCCAGGGUUUCUGCUUCUCCAUAUGUGAAUUCCUCCUCUCUCAUUUGGCAAAGAGGAUGAAGAGUGAAAUAUCAAUAUGUGAAAUAUCAAUAAAGACAGACUUUUUCCUGUCUUUGGCUAUCAGAUAAAUGACAAGACACUGGCCUUACAGCAAAGAAUGGCUAUGUUUGGAGGACAUUAGCUGCAUUUCCCUGCCCUGACUGGUGAAUUCUUUAAAUGCGGACAGCAUUCUCCCUCCACACCCAUCUUCAAGAGGUCCCAGUGUUUCUGUUGAACCAUCUCUUCCAUUGGCUCAGUUUGCAUCCACCAAGUGGAGGAAACAGGAGGCUGAGAGAUGAGAAGCAUCUUUGGGAGGUCUGUUCCUUUUGUGAAGAUGCAUAUGGAGCAAAGUGUUGGCUGUGCACCGUUUUCAUGCUGGUGUCAGAUAGGUAAUGCAGUUGUGUGGAUAGGGAAUUCUCUCCUGACUGGGAGAAAGAAGCAUAGCUGGGCUUUGGGAGAUACCCAAGGGAUAGGUUGCUGCAGUCAUACCAAGUUUGAGCCUGCUUCUUUGCCAAAAUGGAGUUGAUAAUUUAACCUGAUUCCUGAACCAAGUCCUUGUUUCUCCUGAAACACAUCAAGAAUGAAGCUCCUGCAGAAGCGUUGGGCUGUCUGGGGCUCAUCUAUUUAAUUUUCUCUUGCAGUGGGAAAUCUCUUAUUUUAAGUAAAGUUCUUUUCAGAAAUGACUAAUUAAACUACAGAACAGGAAGUGUAAGAGACAGUAAAAUCCCCUUAGCUGUCCAGUGCAUUUCUACGUAAAUAUGGUGGCAAAAUUAUGAAAACUAAACCUUUUGGAGACAAAGGCGAAUGAGAGACCUGGUGAGGCAGUGUUGAAAAAUCUAUUGUUUGUUAUAAUAAAGUGAAACCACUGUGUUUAUCUUGUGUCUUGGAGGAUUUGGCACAAUUAUUCUUGGGAAGGGAGGGAAGCCACAUAGAAAUCAGAAUAGCCCAGAGUUUUUGCUAAAAUAUUUGUACAAAUCAGGCUAUUCAACUACAGAAAAGGACUUCUUUGGGGCUGUUGCUUCUGAAAUUAUCCUGCAAAACUGGAAGGACUGUAAAUGUUUGGCUUUAAUAGCUACAUACAAUGCAAACCUAAUCAGUGAAGCUUGAAAUGUCCAUGGCAGGGAAAAAAGGCAGAGUUUUAUGGCUUUAUGGAGGUGUGCAGAAGACCAGACAGAAAAGCUGCCUAACACCCAUGUAGGAGGGCAGCCGCUGCUCUCCCAUCUGACAAAAGUCACUCUGUGAUCAGAGACAACUGGACAAACUUUCCACGCCAACAUGAUCUGCUUGUUUGCCUGAGUUGGUUGUGAAGGCUGGGAGGAGGUGUAGCACAGACUUCCCUUGCAACCAGCCUCCCCCAGGGUGUUCAGGCAGCCUCACUACCCCAGCUCCCACCCAGGUUGUGUGGCUGUGGGACAAGGACCUGGCAGAAACCAUCCCAGCAAUUGAGGAGGAAUUAUGGUUGUGCUGUCUAACUUUCAGUUUUUGCCUCCAGCAGAGGCUAAAAAUGUUCCACAUUGCUUAGAGGUGUCAGGUUCUGUAGCUGUAGGCUGGGAACAGCCCUCAGAACCUCUCAGUUACACAUUACCCUGAAUAUCUCAGCAAAUUACUCAUAGCUAAUUGAAAUAAAGGAAACAAAGAGGCUCGGUUUACCUGGUGGACUGUAUAUAGCAAUGCAACCACUGCAUUUUGCAUUGGUCAUAAAAACAUGAUUUAUUAUCCCACCUGUCAAACACUGACUUUUUUUUUUUUUUUUUUUCCCUCAGUCUGUGCUUCCUUCUCAUGUCAAUUUAGCAGUGUUCAUCCCAACUAAUGUCAAUAGUUUCUUAUUAACAUUUCAGGUCUAGAAGUGCAGAGCCUCUAAAUAAUCUUAGACAUUCUCUAGAAUCCCAAAACCUCAGGUCAGUGAUUUUCAACCUUCUUCGGUUUGCUGAGUCUUAAAAAUCUUCCUGUGGCAAUGCGGACCCUUCUAAAGCAACUUAACUGUAGUGAUAACAGACUCCAGGUUGAUGAGUUACUUUCUGUGGACUACACAUAAGUAGGAAUUUGCAGAUCAGAAGUUCAAAAGUGCAGAUGCAAGAGAUACAUGGAAGACAGGUGAUCAGUCAGACGUGUGUCAUUUUGCAUUGAAUUUAGAGGGGUUCUUAAGUUUCUAAGGCAGGUGUGCACCAGCAAAACUCUUAACAGAAAUCACCAGGUAUGAGACUGUUAAAGCAAAUUAUGGUUGUGGGUAGUUGUAUAUGUUUGACUUAUGAUGAUGCAUAUAUCUCUCAAUAAAUCUCUCUCUG